GAUAAAUAAUUAUCAUAACAUACAUUUUCAGGCACCUUACCUCCCUUGGGUGUUACUCGGAUUUUCGGUCUUGCUAGGCAAUGCUAUAUCAGUGGAUUUAGUUGGAAUGGCUAUUGGACAUGUAUACUUUUUCCUGGAAGAUGUCCUACCAAGGCAAAGACGAGGACAAAAAUUUCUGAAGACACCUGCAUUCCUGAAAAGGCUUUUUGAUCCGCUGCCGGAGGAGCCAGAAUAUGUGCCGCUUCCUGAAUUGGACAACAUACGACCAGGUGGAUUCGACUGGCGCCGACCUUACCAGCCCAACAACCAAGAAAAUGAAAAUAGAUAAACAUUUAUGCUACCAAAACGGCGAGUGAUAAUAUUUAAAGCCAAACUACAUAUUUAAGAUAUCAAUAUUGCGUAAUGGUAUUUUUGGAAGUAGGAGGUUUCAUGUCUAGUACAUUUAAUGUAAUGUGUGAAUUUAGCCAUAAGAAAAAUAUUCAAUGCCAA